rnacentral:rRNA from 1 species
AGCGAACGCUGGCGGCAGGCUUAACACAUGCAAGUCGAGCGGGCACCUUUCGGGGUGUCAGCGGCGGACGGGUGAGUAACGCGUGGGAACGUGCCCUCUGGUUCGGAAUAACUCAGGGAAACUUGAGCUAAUACCGGAUACGCCCUUUUGGGGAAAGGCUUGCUGCCGGAGGAUCGGCCCGCGUCUGAUUAGCUAGUUGGUGAGGUAACGGCUCACCAAGGCGACGAUCAGUAGCAGGUCUGAGAGGAUGAUCAGCCACACUGGGACUGAGACACGGCCCAGACUCCUACGGGAGGCAGCAGUGGGGAAUAUUGGACAAUGGGCGCAAGCCUGAUCCAGCCAUGCCGCGUGAGUGAUGAAGGCCUUAGGGUUGUAAAGCUCUUUUAUCCGGGACGAUAAUGACGGUACCGGAGGAAUAAGCCCCGGCUAACUUCGUG